GGAGAAAAGGGCGACAGCUGAGAAGGUUGAGAAAAUUCAAACAAGGACAUUUUCUGAGUCACUGUGACACCCAGUUCUUCCCAGUCCAUCCUCUCCUUGCCCCUACAUCAGAAGCUGACUUGCACUCUCCACACCUGUAGACACACAUAUAUUUGGGCUCCAACUGCACCUUAUUCACAUUCCUGGGAAAUCCCAGACGUCACCACUGCAAACCAGUCCCCUGUCCAGGCUGGGAGGAAAAUACCCUCUGUUUCUGUCAUGUCUGGUUGCCUAGGGUGAGCUCUCUGGCUUUCUCUGGCAGAAGCCGUAGUGAUGGAUGAGAGAAAUCAGAGUGCUGGAAUCACCUUCAUCCUCUUGGGCUUCUCAGAAUACCUGCAGGUCCAGGUGCCCCUAUUCCUGGCCUUCUUCACCAUCUACACCAUCUCUGUGGUGGGGAACCUGGGUAUGAUUGUGAUCAUCAGAAUCAACCCCAAGCUUCACACCCCCAUGUACUUCUUUCUCAGCCAUCUCUCCUUUCUUGAUUUUUGUUACUCUUCUAUAACCACACCUAAACUCUUAGAGAUCUUGGUUGUGGACAGAAGGACUAUCUCCUACAUGGAUUGCAUGAUGCAAUUCUUCUUUGAUUGCACAUUUGUGAUUACAGACAUGUUCAUGUUAGCAGUGAUGGCCUAUGACUGGUCUGUAGCUGUUUGUAACCCCCUGCUCUACACAGUUGCUAUGUCUCCUAAGCUCUGCAGCCUCCUAGUCGCUGGAACCUACACGUGGGGUGGAUCGUGUUCCUUGACAAUCACCUGUUCUCUUUUGGAGCUGUCCUUCUGCGGUUCUAACGUCACACAUCACUUUGGCUGUGAGUACUCUGCCAUCGUCUCUGCCUCUUGCUCUGACUCUCACUUCAGUCAGAUGACACGUUUUAUCAUUUCUACUCUCAGUGAGGUGUGUAGCCUCCUGCUUAUCCUCGCCUCCUAUAUUUUCAUAAUUGUCACAAUCAUCAAGAUGCCUUCAGCUGGUGGACUCCGAAAAGCCUUCUCCACCUGUGCCUCCCACCUGACCGCCAUCACCAUUUUCCAUGGGGUCAUCCUUCUUCUCUACUGUGUACCCAACUCCAGAAGCUCAUGGCUCUUCAUCAAAGUAGCCACUGUGCUUUACACAAUAGUGAUCCCCAUGCUAAAUCCCAUUAUCUACAGCCUUAGAAAUAAUGAUGUGAAGGAGACCAUCAGAAAAUUAGUCAAUACCAAAAUGUUUUCCCACCUCAUGGCUCUUCAUCAAAGUAGCCACUGUGCUUUACACAAUAGUGAUCCCCAUGCUAAAUCCCAUUAUCUACAGCCUUAGAAAUAAUGAUG
rnacentral:lncRNA from 1 species